GACGAACGCUGGCGGCGUGCCUAAUACAUGCAAGUAGAACGCAGUUGCGAACGGGUGAGUAACGCGUAGGUAACUGCCUGGUAGCGGGGGAUAACUAUUGGAAACGAUAGCUAAUACCGCAUACUACCAGAUGGACCUGCGUUGUCUUAGCUAGUUGGUGGGGUAACGGCUCACCAAGGCAACGAUACAUAGCCGACCUGAGCGGGUGAUCGGCAACACGUGGAAUGAUGCACGGCCCAGACUCAUACGGGAGGCAGCAGGAGGGAAUCGUCGGCAAUGGACGGAAGUCUGACAGAGCAACGCGGCGUGAGUGAAGAAGGGUAUCGGAUCGUAAAGCUCUGUUGUAAGAGAAGCGGUAUCUUACCAGAAAGGGACGGCUAACUACGUGCCAGCAGCCGCGGUAAUUC
rnacentral:rRNA from 1 species